rnacentral:rRNA from 1 species
AUGGCGGCUGGAGGCGGGGCCGGUGGUCGCCGGCGGCGAGAAAUGUGGAGAAGGGAAAGGGGAAUCGAGUGGCUCGCGGCGGCGGCGGGACAGGGUUUGGACCCGCAAAAGGGUCACGGAACCGCAGUUAUACUGCUCGGGGCGUGCGGUUUGCGGGCUGCGGCAAAAAAAUUUGCGGGCUGCGGCAAAUUUUUUUGCGGGCCGAGCAAGUAUGCGGGCUCUGUUCUGGCCGAAAAAUUGGGCCGAGCCCACAUACUCGCCGGAAUUUUUGCGGGCCGGGUGUUUUGCGGAGUCUGCUAG